AUUGAACGCUGGCGGAAUGCUUUACACAUGCAAGUCGAGCGGCAGCGCGGGGGCAACCCUGGCGGCGAGCGGCGAACGGGUGAGUAACAUAUCGGAACGUACCCCGUCGUGGGGGAUAACACAGCGAAAGCUGUGCUAAUACCGCAUACGACCUGAGGGUGAAAGCGGGGGACCGUAAGGCCUCGCGCGAUGGGAGCGGCCGAUAUCGGAUUAGCUUGUUGGUGAGGUAAAGGCUCACCAAGGCGACGAUCCGUAGCUGGUCUGAGAGGACGACCAGCCACACUGGAACUGAGACACGGUCCAGACUCCUACGGGAGGCAGCAGUGGGGAAUUUUGGACAAUGGGGGGCAACCCUGAUCCAGCCAUUCCGCGUGAGUGAAGAAGGCCUUCGGGUUGUAAAGCUCUUUCAGCAGGAACGAAACGGUAGGCCCCUAAUACGGGCUGCUAAUGACGGUACCUGAAGAAGAAG
rnacentral:rRNA from 1 species